UCUUUUUCAUUCUUCAUUUAUAAGUAUAUAGAAGUUGGAAAUACCUUUGCAGCGGUAUACUAUUAACAAACAUCCCGACGCCAUCCACUGCUGAGAACGACGGUUAGAUGAAUAUGUAAAUAUGCGCAGCGCGCUUUCCUGUCAAUAACAAAAUAAACAACAAAAAUAACAGAAAACGUUAAUUAAGAAAGGAUCAGCGAUGUAGAUGUUUGAACCAUCUCUGCAAUUCCCCGGCAUGAUAACGACAGAUGAGUUGUUGCAUUACCGUGUUCGCCCCCUUCUGGUUUGGAGUGUGGAUUGCCCGUGACUGACUGUAUUCGUCGCCUGACUGUAUGCACUGAACCGUGACGUCUGUACCGUACGGUAUGACGAAUACAUGUAUCGCUACACCCCUAAUGGCCAGGCAGUCGCUAACAAGUGUCUAAAUGGGAUUACAGAGGUUUUCGGCCAUUAAACAUCAUCAGCCUAACAGGUAAACUCAUCUACUACUAGUCACUUUCACAGUUAAUUUGUGUAGAUUAUUCCGUUUCAAAAGAUUCUGCAAAAAUUCUAUUUUUCUUCCACAGAGAGAGUAAAAGCACAUGGGUUUGGAAAACACGAGGGUGAGUAAAUAUGACAGAAUUUUUAUUUUUGGCUUAUUUAUUUUUAUUAUUCGUUUAGGUGCAGGAUUAUUACCUGCAAGUGCUCCCAAACCAGCUGCUUUAAUACUCUUUCCAUUCAGCAGGAGGAGUGUU